GAUGAACGCUGGCGGCGUGCCUAAUACAUGCAAGUCGAGCGAAUGGAUUAAGAGCUUGCUCUUAUGAAGUUAGCGGCGGACGGGUGAGUAACACGUGGGUAACCUGCCCAUAAGACUGGUAUAACUCCGGGAAACCGGGGCUAAUACCGGAUAACAUUUUGAACCGCAUGGUUCGAAAUUGAAAGGCGGCUUCGGCUGUCACUUAUGGAUGGACCCGCGUCGCAUUAGCUAGUUGGUGAGGUAACGGCUCACCAAGGCAACGAUGCGUAGCCGAACUGAGAGGGUGAUCAGCCACACUGGGACUGAGACACGGCCCAGACUCCUACGGGAGGCAGCAGUAGGGAAUCUUCCGCAAUGGACGAAAGUCUGACGGAGCAACGCCGCGUGAGUGAUGAAGGCUUUCGGGUCGUAAAACUCUGUUGUUAGGGAAGAACAAGUGCUAGUUGAAUAAGCUGACACCUUGACGGUACCUAACCAGAAAGCCACGGCUACCUACGUGCCAGCAGCCGCGGUAA
rnacentral:rRNA from 1 species